CUUUGAAGCUUUGCAACCAGGCAUUGACUUCUCCCUAGGUAUGGAAGUCCCAGCUAGAUGGCAGCUGCUUCUAAGGCUAUGGAAUCUGCAUUAGA
rnacentral:miRNA from 1 species